GACGAACGCUGGCGGCGUGCUUAACACAUGCAAGUCGAACGAAGAGCGAUGGAAGCUUGCUUCUAUCAAUCUUAGUGGCGAACGGGUGAGUAACGCGUAAUCAACCUGCCCUUCAGAGGGGGACAACAGUUGGAAACGACUGCUAAUACCGCAUACGAUCUAAUCUCGGCAUCGAGGAUAGAUGAAAGGUGGCCUCUACAUGUAAGCUAUCACUGAAGGAGGGGAUUGCGUCUGAUUAGCUAGUUGGAGGGGUAACGGCCCACCAAGGCGAUGAUCAGUAGCCGGUCUGAGAGGAUGAACGGCCACAUUGGGACUGAGACACGGCCCAGACUCCUACGGGAGGCAGCAGUGGGGAAUCUUCCGCAAUGGACGAAAGUCUGACGGAGCAACGCCGCGUGAGUGAUGACGGCCUUCGGGUUGUAAAGCUCUGUUAAUCGGGACGAAAGGCCUUCUUGCGAAUAGUGAGAAGG
rnacentral:rRNA from 1 species